UGUGUGUGUGUGUGUGUGUGUGUGUGUGUGUGUGUGUGUGUGUGUGUGUGUGUGUGUGUGUGUGUGUGUGUGUGUGUGUGUGUGUGUGUGUGUGUGUGUGUGUGUGUGUGUGUGUGUGUGAGUUUGUAAAACCUACCAACCGGGGAAAAUCGUAUGAAUACACACCAACAAACCGGGGAACACCUUCCAACCGGGGAAUUCCCCGGUUGGUUUUAGGCGAAAAUCUCUAAUCUACGUGAAUGAAAUACCAAACUGUCAAUUUAAAUUAGAAAUCCAACGCCUUCCCCGAUUAGCGGGUUUGUGGCAUGCACAAAAUAUACACAAAUCUUCACCAUAUUACAAUCGAGUGUGUAUCCAGGCUUAUAACAGUUCCCCGGUUGCGCUGUUUAAAAAUCAUACACUCGGUAUUUAUAUCAUUUAGUGAAAGUCAGUUGGAAAAAUGGAGUUUCGAGCGAACAAACGCAUUAAACUAAGGCAACACAAUGACUACUAGAUCUACGGACAGCCAGGAACCAGGACAAACAACAUCCGUACACACGGGAGAAGUCGAUGAGACGAGUACCGAAACUAAAGAACAUAGCGACACUGCACACGAGUACAAUUCACAAGAUGCAGCAGAAAAUAUGUUGAAC